GAUGAAGAACGCAGCGAAAUGCGAUAAGUAAUGUGAAUUGCAGAAUUCAGUGAAUCAUCGAAUCUUUGAACGCACAUUGCGCCCGCCAGUAUUCUGGCGGGCAUGCCUGUUCGAGCGUCAUUACAACCCUCAGGCCCCCGGGCCUGGCGUUGGGGAUCGGCGGAAGCCCCCUGCGGGCACAACGCCGUCCCCCAAAUACAGUGGCGGUCCCGCCGCAGCUUCCAUUGCGUAGUAGCUAACACCUCGCAACUGGAGAGCGGCGCGGCCACGCCGUAAAACACCCAACUUCUGAAUGUUGACCUCGAAUCAGGUAGGAAUAUCCGCUGAACUUAAGCAUAUCAAUAAGCGGAGGA
rnacentral:misc_RNA from 1 species